rnacentral:rRNA from 1 species
AAACCAGCACCUCAAGUGGUCAGGAUAAUUAUUGGGCCUAAAGCAUCCGUAGCCUGUUGCAUAAGUUUUCGGUUAAAUCCAUAUGCUCAACAUAUGGGCUGCCGGGAAUACUGUGCGACUAGGGAGUGGGAGAGGUAGACGGUACUCGGUAGGAAGGGGUAAAAUCCUUUGAUCUAUUGAUGACCACCUGUGGCGAGGGCGACCGGCCAGAACGCACUCGACGGUGAGGGACGAAAGCUGGGGGAGCAAACCGGAUUAGAUACCCGAGUAGUCC